GUGAAGGAGGGUCAUGUUUGCACAGCAGUGAUUCAGAGCUCUGCCAGGACAGCUGCCAGUGCAGUUUAUCUCCCAGUCCGAUCAGGCCUUGGCGCAGGGAGGGAAGGUGGCCCUUUCUUCAAAAGCUUCAGCUGGCUCUGGCCUGGCAAACGCCUCUCCAGGACGUUCUGCUCUCCACACGAGGCCAGAAGAAGGAGUCCUUUCCUUGUGCCUUCUUGGCCAGCCUCCGGGAAGCUCUGGGCAGAUCACAUCCAGCCAUCUCCCCCGGGUCAAGGGUGAAGCCACCAGCCGUGGCAUGUGACUGGUCAGUGGAGGCACAGGGCAGCCGGGUGAGUGCCUGGUGAAGAGCGUCAUGGUCCUGGCAUCUGCAGUUCCACCCAUGGCUACUCCUGGUUCUAAAGGAAAUGCUGCCCAGGUAGCCUAGGAUGGGAAGGCAGCCACCUGCCCACAGCAGCCUGGGCGCGCAGGAGGCAGUGACUCUUCCAAGCUCCUGGCAUGACAGUUCUUGUGGGGACACUCAUGGCCAUGCCUAGGGUCUGCCCAGCAGCCCUGAAGUACCCCGCCCUCACAUCGAGGAGCCUCCAGCCUCUCAAGACCCCUGAAGCAGAGAGAAGAUGCCAGCCUCUGCAGCCUGGGAAAGGCCUCCAGGGACCCCUCCUUCCCAACCAGAACCUGACACCCCUCAGGCGAGACCUGGAGGGGCCUUUAAGUGAGACUUCAUGAUUGAUGGAUGGUGGAAGUCUCCACAGCGGCCCUAGAUUGAGAUCUUAGAGGAGCAUUUCUUGGGACAAACGAGCAGCUCUCCUUUUGUAGAUGCCUCCGUGCAGUAUUAGUUUACCAGGGUUGCUGCACAGAACCAUGGACUGUGUGGGUUCAACAACAAACAUUUAUUUCCUCAUAGUUCUGGAGGCUGGAAGUCCAAGGUCAAGGCCUUGGCAGGGCUGGUUUCUCCCGAAGCCUCUCUCCUUGGCUUGUGGACAUCCGCCUUCUCCCCGCUUCCUCUUGUGGUCUCCCUCUGUGCACCUGUGCCCUGGCGUCUCUGUGUGUGUCCACAUUUUCUCUUGUUAUGAUGACAGCAGUCCUGUUGGAUAAAGGCUGGCCCUAAUGAUCUCAUUUGACCCUAAUCACCUCUAUAAAGACCCUCUUUCCAAGUAUGUCCUGACAUACUGGGGAUUAGGACCUCAACACGUAAACUAGGGUGUGAGCAGUCCAGCCUGUAACACUGAGCAAGGUCACCACUCCUCGGGUGAGCCAGUGUCAGUAAGUAGGUCAGAAAUCAAGACGGGGCCAUAGAAACCUUCCCCUGCCUUCCGCAAGAGACUAUCUGUCCCACAGAGGGGAGGCCUUGUGUGUCAUGUGCUUGGCCU
rnacentral:lncRNA from 1 species